GUCAUUAAUUCAGAUUUUAGAUAAAAUAAACAGCGAUCAAAGUAACAAAGAUAUUGUGUUAGCAUCAUCUGGAAUAAUUGCAUCACUAAGGAAUAUUAAUUCGGAAAAAUGGACUUAUCUAAAAGCCCCAUUAGAAGAGACAGAAACCUCCAGUCAAUAAGGCAAGAUUCAAGGCCUCUAAUAAUGAUGCAUAGAAUGUC
rnacentral:lncRNA from 1 species